UGAUGACCAAGAAGGAUAUGAUGAGAAUCGGAGGGUAACUCAGUCCGAGUUCGUGACUCGGCAAUUGUUCCCUCUCGAUGGGUCCCACACUUCUCGGAAACCUGAUUGGGUGGAUCUAUCGUUUGAUCCACCCAAUACUGUUAGUUUCCGAGAGGCAGAAAUAGUACGUGCGCAACAACAGUACCAACAACAGCAACAACAACAACCGCAACAAGUUAAGAAGAGUAGGAGGGGGCCUCGGUCUAGAAGUUCACAGUAC
rnacentral:lncRNA from 1 species